GGGGCUAUAGCUCAGUUGGUAGAGCGCUUCCUUAGCAUUCUUUGAGUGAUCAAAUGGACGAGGUCUGGCGUUCGAAUCGCCAUUGCUCCA
rnacentral:tRNA from 1 species